rnacentral:rRNA from 1 species
CAAUUUUCAGCGACGGAUAUCUUGGCUCGAGCACCUAUGAAGGGCGCAGCGAAGUGCGAUAAUCGUUGUGAAUUGCAGAACUCCGUGAACCAAUGGCCUCUUGAACGUGCAUUGCGCUCCUGGGAUAUGCCUGAGAGCAUGUCUGCUUCAGUG